UAUCCUCUAAGGUCUCUUCCGAUCUUCUCCAUAAAACCCGGCGCGGGCAAAAAUCCCGGCUUUCUUUAUCAUCCUGCCGCCGGGAACUGCUAACGUUGCCAUUGCCAUCUUUGCCUUGCCGAUCGUUGGCCUCCUCUCAUCUACAGGAUACCUCUGGUGUCGGCGAUCUUCCUGUUCAUCGACAUCGAGUGUUAGCUAAUUGAUCGGAAGCAGGAUUUUACCACGCUUUCUCGUUCUCCUCCACCAUUUUAUGGCCGUUACCAACGCUGCCGCCGUCAUCUUAAAGGAUACAGGCGUACUCCCUACCUCUUUUGUUCUUAAAGUCGAGGGCCUGCUGAAAAGUGUCCACGAGAUAAAGUUGAAGUUUUGUAGAUGCUUCCUCUGUGUUCUUCGGACAGCAUUUCUUCAUUUGCACAAUGGUCAGGGAACAAUAAAUCUUCUAAAACGUCCAAGGUGAAUUAUUGGGUUCAGUUACUUUUUAAGUUCACUGAACAUUUGGAACACUCUUUCUUUGGCUCUGUUGCUAUCUUUGUAUGUUACAUAGGAAAGCUAGCUUUCACGUCUGACAAGUUUCUAAUAUGAUUAUUAGACAAAAUGAUCAAAGUUAGAAGAUAAUUGCUCAAAAUUAGAAAAUAUUUAAACAAAGAUUGAGCAUCCCUGACAGAAAAUUUAAGUUGCAUGAUGAUAGUACCAAUGUUCAAGGUUUGACUAUUUUUUUUUUAGGAAAUAUUAUUCUGUGCGGAGACCGGACGCAGAACGCCAUCUGGAGACCAAUCAGAAUGCGACACUUGCUAUCUUCCUUUUCUUGAGAUUGUAGUAGCCUAGGAGAGUCUGGAAUAUUUUCCGUCACAAUCUCCUCUCGCCUUGCUCGAGUGGUCUAACAACUCCUCUCGAACUACCUCUAGAGUAUAACAUAUGCUAUACUUCGUAGUAUAGCUACUUCUUCGUUACUCGCAUUCCUCUCCUUUCAGUCGAGCAUGUCUCCUCCGCCAACAAUAGAUAGAUCGGGUGUGGUGUUCGAAGGUGGAUAACGAACGAUAACUGUUUUGCCAAGGCGAGUGCUUUCUUCCUAUUUGGAUUCGAUUUAGACAUUCUCAAUGGUCCCCAGCCCGAUCAAGUCACAAAACGAUUCUUUAUAUUUAGAAAUAAUAAGUACCCGUUGAGAAUAAGGAAGGGGCCCUUGAAGUUGUUCGUUUGGUCACUUUCUUUUAUGUUAGUAAAGAAAACGAGUUAAUCUGACACAAACAAAGAAUUUUUUUUCAGCGGUACCAAGCCACGGUGCCGAGCAAAGGGGUGAUGUGGUGCAUUCUAGUUGGUCUCCAGACGGCGUUCGGCGUCCCCACAGAAUAAUUAAUCUUUUUUUGGAGGCCUAUUUAACGUGUAAGAAUCUGUCUUUGCAUUUGUCAGGUUCUUAGUUCAUUUUCAACAUUUUCAAUUAAUUAAGUUGUGUAUUCUUGAAGUCUAAUUUUUGUUUGUAAUUCAUUCUCACAAAUAAUAAACUUAGUAGGCUCUGAGACUGUGACUCACAUUCUAUUUAUCAAUUAAGAUUAUGGUGGAUGGCACAUGUUCUAUUCCAUAGCGUUAACUGACCUGUAGUCUAUAUAAUAAGUUAAUAACACAAGUAGCAAUGCUGCAGAUUUAAGAAUACCAACUUUUUGUUUAUAAGACCCCGAUUCUUGAAAAGAAUACUAAAGAAAGACAAGCUGCCUCAAUGGUUAAUUUUUUCUCAUAAUAGAAAUUUAAAUAUUUUUUAGUUGUUACUAAUUUACCUUUGCGUUUACUAGUUUGGGCAUGAGAAAUUCUUAUCUUUAUUUAUUCCUAAUAAAGGUUUAUGUGCAAAAAUCUAUCAUUAGAUAUCUUCAUGUAUGUAUAUAUACAGUUUUCUUUUUUUUUUCUUUUUGGGACAUUUAGGCCAUUUAAGGCAAACUCACACACACAACGCAUACACAUAGACUCGAACCCUGGACCUCUUAGUUGGAAGCCUAAGCUCUCAACCAAUAGGCCAAGGAGAGUUGUGUUAUACAGUUUUCUUUCUGAGAAUAAAGAGCUUGAAAUUUCGUUUGGGAUGAAAAGCCAUUCUAAACGAAGCCUGAGUAUAAAUGAAGGAAAGAAAACACGUCAAUCUAAAGCAAAAUUUUCAAGGAAAUAGUAAAAAGACACUGGAAAAAAAAAAGACCAGCUUUCCGCAUCUAGCAAGCAGAAUCAUUGCCUCACUGUAUGACAUUAUUUAGUAUCACCUCGUCUAAAAUGAAGUUCAACUUCACCUAAGAAAAAAAGUCGUUUAAAAUGGAAAAAAAAAAAAAAAACAUAAAUACUAA